rnacentral:rRNA from 1 species
CCUACGUGGGACAGCAGUGGGGAAUCUUGCGCAAUGGGCGAAAGCCUGACGCAGCGACGCCGCGUGAGGGAUGACGGUCUUCUGAUCGUAAACCUCUGUCAGCAGGGAAGAACGGUCCCUGUGCUAAUCAGCAGUGAAUUGCCGGUACCUGCAAAGGAAGCACCGGCUAACCCCGUGCCAGCAGCCGCGGUAAUACUGAGGGUGAUAGCGUUAAUCGGAAUUACUGGGCGGAAAGCGCUCGUAGGCGGGAUGUCAAGUCAAGGGUGAAAUCACCGCGCUAAAAGUGGGAACUGCCGUUGAAACGGGCAAAGUGGAUGGGGUGAGAGGAUAGUGGAAUGCGAGGGGUAGGAGUGAAAUCCGUAGAGAUCUGGAGGAACAUCAGUGGCGAAGGCGACUAUCUGGCACAUAACUGACGCUGAGGAGCGAAAGCGUGGGUAGCAAACAGGAUUAGAUACCCGGGUAGUC